rnacentral:rRNA from 1 species
GACGAACGCUGGCGGCGUGCCUAAUACAUGCAAGUAGAACGCUGAAGAGAGGAGCUUGCUCUUCUUGGAUGAGUUGCGAACGGGUGAGUAACGCGUAGGUAACCUGCCUUGUAGCGGGGGAUAACUAUUGGAAACGAUAGCUAAUACCGCAUAACAAUGGAUGACACAUGUCAUUUAUUUGAAAGGGGCAAUUGCUCCACUACAAGAUGGACCUGCGUUGUAUUAGCUAGUAGGUGAGGUAAUGGCUCACCUAGGCGACGAUACAUAGCCGACCUGAGAGGGUGGUCAGCCACACUGGGAGGGAGACCCGGCCCAGACUCCUACGGGAGGCAGCAGGAGGGAAUCUUCGGCAAGGGGGGCAACCCUGACCGAGCAACGCCGCGGGAGUGAAGAAGGUUGUCGGAUCGUAAAGCUCUGUUGUAAGUCAAGAACGGGUGUGAGAGUGGAAAGUUCACACUGUGACGGUAGCUGAUCAGAAAGGGACGGCUAACUACGUG